rnacentral:misc_RNA from 1 species
GAUGAAGAACGCAGCGAAAUGCGAUAAGUAGUGUGAAUUGCAGAAUUCAGUGAAUCAUCGAAUCUUUGAACGCACAUUGCGCCCCUUGGUAUCCCGAGGGGCAUGCCUGUUCGAGCGUCAUUUCACCACUCAAGCCUGGCUUGGUGUUGGGCGACGUCCCCUUUGGGGACGCGCCUCGAAACGCUCGGCGGCGUGGCACCGGCUUUAAGCGUAGCAGAAUCUUUCGCUUUGGAAGUCGGGGCCCCGUCUGCCGGAAGACCUACUCGCAAGGUUGACCUCGGAUCAGGCAGGGAUACCCGCUGAACUUAAGCAUAUCAAUAAGCCGGAGGA